rnacentral:rRNA from 1 species
GACGAACGCUGGCGGCGUGCUUAACACAUGCAAGUCGAACGGCAAGGCCCUGCUUUUGUGGGGUGCUCGAGUGGCGAACGGGUGAGUAACACGUGAGUAACCUGCCCUUGACUUUGGGAUAACUUCAGGAAACUGGGGCUAAUACCGGAUAGGAGCUCCUGCUGCAUGGUGGGGGUUGGAACGUUUCGGCGGUUGGGGAUGGACUCGCGGCUUAUCAGCUUGUUGGUGGGGUAGUGGCUUACCAAGGCUUUGACGGGUAGCCGGCCUGAGAGGGUGACCGGCCACAUUGGGACUGAGAUACGGCCCAGACUCCUACGGGAGGCAGCAGUGGGGAAUAUUGCACAAUGGGCGGAAGCCUGAUGCAGCAACGCCGCGGGCGGGAUGACGGCCUUCGGGGUGUAAACCGCUUUCGCCUGUGACGAAGCGUGAGUGACGGUAAUGGGUAAAGAAGCACCGGCUAACUACGUG